UACGUAGGGUGCAAGCGUUAAUCGGAAUUACUGGGCGUAAAGCGUGCGCAGGCGGUUAUGUAAGACAGAUGUGAAAUGCCCGGGCUUAACCUGGGAACUGCAUUUGUGACUGCAUGGCUAGAGUUUGGCAGAGGGGGGUAGAAUUCCACGUGUAGCAGUGAAAUGCGUAGAUAUGUGGAGGAACACCGAUGGCGAAGGCAGCCCCCUGGGUCAAGACUGACGCUCAUGCACGAAAGCGUGGGGAGCAACGAAGG
rnacentral:rRNA from 1 species